rnacentral:hammerhead_ribozyme from 1 species
AUCCAGACGACUAGUCCCAAAUAGGAUGAAAUGCGCAUCCUGGAU